rnacentral:rRNA from 1 species
GUGCCAGCCGCCGCGGUAAUACGUAGGUCCCGAGCGUUAUCCGGAUUUAUUGGGCGUAAAGCGAGCGCAGGCGGUUAGAUAAGUCUGAAGUUAAAGGCUGUGGCUUAACCAUAGUACGCUUUGGAAACUGUUUAACUUGAGUGCAGAAGGGGAGAGUGGAAUUCCAUGUGUAGCGGUGAAACGCGUAGAUAUAUGGAGGAACACCGGUGGCGAAAGCGGCUCUCUGGUCUGUAACUGACGCUGAGGCUCGAAAGCGUGGGGAGCAAACAGGAUUAGAU